GACAAUUUGGCCGAGUGGUCUAAGGCGCCAGAUUUAGGCUCUGGUCUGAAAGGGCGUGGGUUCAAAUCCCACAGCCGUCA
rnacentral:tRNA from 1 species